rnacentral:rRNA from 1 species
AAUCAACGCUGGCGGCGUGCCUAACACAUGCAAGUCGAACGCGAAAGGGGAGCAAUCCCUGAGUAGAGUGGCAAACGGGUGAGUAACACGUGGGUGACCUGCCUUCGAGUGGGGGAUAACGUUCCGAAAGGAACGCUAAUACCGCAUGACAUCCUGCUUUUGGAGAAGCGGAGAUCAAAGCUGGGGAUUCGCAAGAACCUAGCGCUUGAAGAGGGGCCCGCGCCUGAUUAGCUAGUUGGUGGGGUAACGGCUCACCAAGGCUUCGAUCAGUAUCCGGCCUGAGAGGGCGGACGGACACACUGGGACUGAGACACGGCCCAGACUCCUACGGGAGGCAGCAGUGGGGAAUUGUUCGCAAUGGGCGCAAGCCCUGACGACGCAACGCCGCGUGGAGGAUGAAGAUUUUCGGAUCGUAAACUCCUGUCGAGUGGGAAGAAUAGCUUCCGGGGCGAAUAU